CAAGUCGAGGGGCAGCAUGAACUUAGCUUGCUGAGUUUGAUGGCGACCGGCGCACGGGUGAGUAACACGUAUCCAACCUGCCGAUGACUCGGGGAUAGCCUUUCGAAAGAAAGAUUAAUACCGGAUGGCAUAGUUUUCCCGCAUGGGAUAAUUAUUAAAGAAUUUCGGUUGUCGAUGGGGAUGCGUUCCAUUAGGCAGUUGGCGGGGUAACGGCCCACCAAACCUUCGAUGGAUAGGGGUUCUGAGAGGAAGGUCCCCACAUUGGAACUGAGACACGGUCCAAACUCC
rnacentral:rRNA from 1 species